GAUGAACGCUGGCGGCGUGCCUAAUACAUGCAAGUCGAGCGAACAGACGAGGUGCUUGCUCCUUCGACGUUAGCGGCGGACGGGUGAGUAAUCCGUAGGUAACCUACCUAUAAGACUGGGAUAACUUCGGGAAACCGGAGCUAACACCGGAUAAUAUUUCGAAACGCAUGGUUCGAUAGGCAACGAUGGCUUUGCUAUCACUUAUAGAUGGACCUGCGCCGUAUUAGCUAGUUGGUAGGGUAACGGCUUACCAAGGCGACGAUACGUAGCCGACCUGAGAGGACGACCAGCCACACUGGGACUGAGACACGGUCCAGACUCCUACGGGAGGCAGCAGUGGGGAAUCUUCCACAAAGGGGGAAAGCCUGAUGGAGCAAUGCCGCGUGAGGGAAGAAGGUCUUCGGAUUGUAAAACGCUUUUGUUAGGGAAGAAAAAACGUGUAAGAAAAUGUCCGCGGCAUGACGGUACCUGAACAAUAAGCCCCGGCUAACUACGUG
rnacentral:rRNA from 1 species